rnacentral:lncRNA from 1 species
UAUGUGAAUGUAUGUAUUGUGACUGUAUGUUUUUAUGUAUAUAUGUGUUUAAGCAUUUAUUUAUUUACUUUCUUUCUGAACCAGAUGGAGUGGAUCAUAUAUCACCAAGAGGUCCUAGACUUGGCAGCGGAUGUUGUUGGGCUGUCUUUCUUCAGGAAGGUUGAAUAUGUUCUUUGUUCAAGAAAGAUUGAAACACAAGAAAGAAUUCAGUUAUCAAAGCAAACAUGA